CAGCAACUGUGAGCAUUUGCAAAGUGUUGACAUAUAUACAAGAAUGAGGUAAUGUUUAGUAGCAAAACAUGCCCAGACAAAGACCUGGGAGCUGAUAGCACUGUGUAACAGUCAGAUGCUCAGGAGCAGAGUUAGCAAUCAGGAGAGGAUGGACAAAGAGAUUAAAAGACUGCAAGAAAAACUGAUGAAAAAGAAGUUAGAAGCUGCUAAGAGACCUGACCGCAGAAGAUUGGAGUGGAGGUAAAUGACCAGAGCUGACCAAGAAGCAAGCAGAAAUAGCAGUAGCAAAUAGAAGCAGCAGUCAGAUACAGAGAUUAAAGAGUAAAACCAAAGUAUUUAUAAACCACCAUCCGCGAAGAUAUGCAUAUGCUGGUUCAAACUGGAUUCUCCAACAGAGAGACCAACAGAAAAAUAAAAGACUUUUGGACAAAAGCCUGAAUUUAAAAUGACUCAGGUCCUUCUUCCUGAUCCAGUUAAUGGACAGGACCCCUAGUCUAUGGAGAGCCCAAAUCCUUAGAGGAAGAUAUGAAGGACUUAGUCUACUGAGGCCCCAUAAGACUGUGUGCUUGUUCUGAGCUGAAGCUCUGAUGAACUUGUAACGACGAAGAAGCCCCUAUGGAAGGGUGAUGCCUGAUAAGCUUAUUAGCAUGUGUUCCUAAUAAUGUUCUUUUAAUAUUCCUAAUAAUUUUUUUCACUGUGAGGUUUUUUACCUAAAAUAAAGUAGGCUUGCUUAGAAAGAGCUGUAUGGUCACUUAUAUCUGUAGCAAUCACUCUGUUAUGUGUCACUGAAGAGAAAGCAAGGAAGUCUGUAUAGUCAGAUGGUUUUGCUGGGAAAUAUCCAGUGAGGGCAGGGAACUGUGCAGUCAUGGAAUACCCUUGUCAGAAUAGAGAAAGAUGCAGUUGCCCACCCAGAAAGACAACAGCUGAGGAGCUGGAAGCUGAGGUAUUGCCCUUGCUGAACCACUGAGUUGGUGCAGUUGCCCUGCUCUGUGACAGUACGGCCCUGGGAGAAGCCAAGAGAGAAUUCUGGGUUGGGAUGCUGGCUGAGAGAAGCUUGGGUCUAUAAGCAAAAAAACCUACUCCUUUUUUUUCUCUUUUUUUGUGCAUGUGUGAUUCUCCUAAAUUUGGAGAAGUGGGACGUUGUAUGUUCCUUUUAAAAAUACCUGAGUGUAUCAAAGAAAGCACCAGUUCCCAUUUCUCCUUCAUCAGUUUCUGCUCCCAAAUAGAACUUCUGCAGGACCCCAAACUUUGACUAGCUGCUUUGGCCAAAAAGGGACACCAAUAUUUUAAGAUAGGAUAACAAUUACUGAUUGACUGCUAAGAGAGCAAAGGGAUCAGUAAAAGAGCUGGCACACUGUAAAGAAGACUGCUCUAUUGUUCAUCAAAGUUUCCUAUGACUAAGCAGUUAUUUCAAAACAAAACAAAAAUCUCGCAGUCCAGCACAUUCUGGUGUCUCAUCCAUCAUAGCAGACACUUUUCUGAUUUGAUUGAAAUGUUUUUUUUAUUUAAACACUGCAUUGAUCACAGCAGCAGCUUGCUGAUGACUGCCUGGACAAGCCUGGGCGAGCAGAUAUCUUAUCCAGUUAUGGCAAUUAUAGGCAAGAAGAGGCCAUCCACUUGCAAACCCUAUAUUGUACAAUGUAGGAAGCAUAAAUAGUAUCAGGGUAUCAGUAGAUUUUUUGUGGAAAUUUCUGUCAUAGAUACAACAUAUUUUUCUGAAUGUUAUAUAGCUUUUAGCUUGCACUUCCAUCUAGUCCAGCAAUUUAUUAUGUAUCUGUACUACUAAUGUAUAAUUUAAUUUGACUUAUAAAACAGAUAAAACAUUUUGAUUUUGUAUUUA